GACGAACGCUGGCGGCAUGCCUAACACAUGCAAGUCGAACGAGACCUUCGGGUCUAGUGGCGCACGGGUGCGUAACGCGUGGGAACCUUCCCUUAGGUUCGGAAUAACUCCCCGAAAGGGGUGCUAAUACCGGACCAUAUCUUCUGCCCAAAGAUUUAUCGCAUUUGGAUGGACCAGCGUUGGAUUAGCUAGUUGGUAGGGUAAAAGCCUACCAAGGCGACGAUCCAUAGCUGGUCUGAGAGGAUGGGCAGCCACACUGGGACUGAGACACGGCCCAGAAUCCUACGGGAGGCAGCAGUGGGGAAUAGUGGACCAUGGGCGAAAGCCUGAUCCAGCUAUGCCGGGUGAGUGAUGAAGGCCUUAGGGUUGUAAAGCUCUUGUACCCGGGAUGAUAAUGACAGUACCGGGAGAAUAAGCCCCGGCUAACUCCGUG
rnacentral:rRNA from 1 species